rnacentral:tRNA from 1 species
UAGUAAAAUUUUAAAUAUUUGAUAAAAAUUUAGCGCUAUGAAGCAUUUACU